rnacentral:rRNA from 1 species
AAAACUUUCAACAACGGAUCUCUUGGUUCUGGCAUCGAUGAAGAACGCAGCGAAAUGCGAUAAGUAAUGUGAAUUGCAGAAUUCCGUGAAUCAUCGAAUCUUUGAACGCACAUUGCGCCCUUUGGUAUUCCAAAGGGCAUGCCUGUUCGAGCGUCAUU